GGGAGCUCUCCCAUAUGGUCGACCUGCAGGCGGCCGCGAAUUCACUAGUGAUUCGUAUUACCGCGGCUGCUGGCACGUAGUUGGCCGGUGCUUCUUCUGCAGGUACCGUCACUUUCGCUUCGUCCCUGCUGAAAGAGGUUUACAACCCGAAGGCCUUCGUCCCUCACGCGGCGUCGCUGCGUCAGGCUUUCGCCCAUUGCGCAAUAUUCCCCACUGCUGCCUCCCGUAGGAGUCUGGGCCGUGUCUCAGUCCCAGUGUGGCUGAUCGUCCUCUCAGACCAGCUAUCCGUCGUCGCCUUGGUAGGCCGUUACCCCACCAACAAGCUGAUAGACCGCGAGCCCAUCCCGAAGCGGAAUCCAUUUCCUCACUUGACCAUGCGAUCUGGUGAGGACAUCCGGUAUUAGCACCGGUUUCCCGGUGUUGUCCCGGUCUUCGGGGCAGGUUGCUCACGUGUUACGCACCCGUUCGCCGCUCUCCCCAGAGCCGAAGCCCUGGUUCUCGCUCGACUUGCAUGUUUUAGGCGCGCCGCCAGCGUUCGUCCUGAGCCAUGAUCAAACUCUAAUCGAAUUCCCGCGGCCGCCAUGGCGGCCG
rnacentral:rRNA from 1 species